rnacentral:rRNA from 1 species
CAUGCAAGUCGAGCGGUAAGGCCCUUCGGGGUACACGAGCGGCGAACGGGUGAGUAACACGUGAGCAACCUGCCCCUGACUCUGGGAUAAGCGGUGGAAACGCCGUCUAAUACCGGAUACGACCCGCCACCUCAUGGUGGAGGGUGGAAAGUUUUUCGGUCAGGGAUGGGCUCGCGGCCUAUCAGCUUGUUGGUGGGGUAACGGCCUACCAAGGCGAUUACGGGUAGCCGGCCUGAGAGGGCGACCGGCCACACUGGGACUGAGACACGGCCCAGACUCCUGCGGGAGGCAGCAGUGGGGAAUAUUGCGCAAUGGGCGAAAGCCUGACGCAGCGACGCCGCGUGGGGGAUGACGGCCUUCGGGUUGUAAACCUCUUUUACCACCAACGCAGGCUCGAAGUUCUCUUCGGGUUGACGGUAGGUGGGGAAUAAGGACCGGCUAACUACGUGCCAGCAGCCGCGGUAAUACGUAGGGUCCGAGCGUUGUCCGGAAUUAUUGGGCGUAAAGAGCUCGUAGGCGGCGUGUCGCGUCUGCUGUGAAAGACCGGGGCUUAACUCCGGUUCUGCAGUGGAUACGGGCAUGCUAGAGGUAGGUAGGGGAGACUGGAAUUCCUGGUGUAGCGGUGAAAUGCGCAGAUAUCAGGAGGAACACCGGUGGCGAAGGCGGGUCUCUGGGCCUUACCUGACGCUGAGGAGCGAAAGCAUGGGGAGCGAACAGGAUUAGAUACCCUGGUAGUCCAUGCCGUAAACGUUGGGCGCUAGGUGUGGGGACUUUCCACGGUUUCCGCGCCGUAGCUAACGCAUUAAGCGCCCCGCCUGGGGAGUACGGCCGCAAGGCUAAAACUCAAAGGAAUUGACGGGGGCCCGCACAAGCGGCGGAGCAUGUUGCUUAAUUCGACGCAACGCGAAGAACCUUACCAAGGUUUGACAUCACCCGUGGACUCGCAGAGAUGUGAGGUCAUUUAGUUGGCGGGUGACAGGUGGUGCAUGGCUGUCGUCAGCU